rnacentral:rRNA from 1 species
ACGGAGGAUGCAAGCGUUAUCCGGAUUUAUUGGGUUUAAAGGGUGCGUAGGCGGAAUGGUAAGUCAGUGGUGAAAUCCUACGGCUUAACUGUAGAACUGCCAUUGAUACUGCCAAUCUUGAGUACACUUGAAGUGGGCGGAAUGUGUCAUGUAGCGGUGAAAUGCUUAGAGAUGACACAGAACACCGAUAGCGAAGGCAGCUCACUAAAUUGUAACUGACGCUGAGGCACGAAAGCGUGGGGAUCAAACAG